UACGAGGGGUGCAAGCGUUGCUCGGAAUUAUUGGGCGUAAAGGGUAGGUAGGUGGUCUCAUUUGUCAGGGGUGAAAGCCUUGGGCUUAACUCAAGAAGUGCCCCUGAAACGGUGAGACUCGAGUACUGGAGAGGGUCGUGGAAUUCCCGGUGUAGCGGUGAAAUGCGUAGAGAUCGGGAGGAACACCAGAGGCGAAGGCGGCGACCUGGACAGUCACUGACACUCAACUACGAAAGCGUGGGGAGCAAACAGG
rnacentral:rRNA from 1 species